rnacentral:rRNA from 1 species
GUAGUCAUAUGCUUGUCUCAAAGCUUAAGCCAUGCAAGUCUCAGUACGAGCUGCUUUAAAGUGAAACCGCAAAAGGCUCAGUAAACCGGUCAUAGUUUACCGGAUAUAUGCCACUCACGUGGAUAACUGUGGUAAUUCUAGAGCUAAUACAUGCAAACAAGUCCCGACCAGCGAUGGAGAGGACGCUUUUAUUGGAUCAAAACCAUUCGACCGAGCAAUCGGUCGUCGGCUUGGUGACUCUAGAUAACACCACAGAUCGCACGGUCAUAGUACCGGCGACAUAUCCUUCAAAUGUCUGACUUAUCAGCUGUCGAUGGUAGACUCUGUGUCUACCAUGGCGCUCACGGGUGACGGGGAAUCAGGGUUCGAUUCCGGAGAGGGAGCCUGAGAAACGGCUACCACAUCCAAGGAAGGCAGCAGGCACGCAAAUUACCCACUCCCGGCACGGGGAGGUAGUGACAAAAAAUAACGAUACGGGACUCAUCCGAGGCCCCGUAAUCGGAAUGAGAACACCCUAAAUCCUUUAACGAGGAUCUAUUGGAGGGCAAGUCUGGUGCCAGCAGCCGCGGUAAUUCCAGCUCCAAUAGCGUAUAUUAAAGUUGUUGCGGUUAAAAAGCUCGUAGUUGGUUCUGCGUGCCACGCUGUCGGUUCACCGCCUGCCGGUGCAACUGGCAUGUCGUGGCAUGUCCUGUCGGUGGCGGAUAGGCUUCGCGGCGUGCCCCAUGCGGUAUACCAACGUGUGGGUUGCUGCGCUCGCGUCGUCCUUGUACGCCGGCUCAAUCCUACCGCGGUGCUCUUUACCGAGUGUCGAGGUAGGCCGACACUGUUUACUUUGAACAAAUUAGAGUGCUUCAAGCAGGCUCUUAAAUCAGCCUGAAUAGUGGUGCAUGGAAUAAUGGAACAGGACCUUGGUUCUAUUUUGUUGGUUUUAGGAAUCCAAGGUAAUGAUCAAUAAGGACAGGCGGGGGCAUUCGUAUUGCGACGUUAGAGGUGAAAUUCUUGGAUCGUCGCAAGACGCACUAGAGCGAAAGCAUUUGCCAAGUAUGUCUUAAUUGAUCAAGAACGAAAGUUAGAGGUUCGAAGGCGAUCAGAUACCGCCCUAGUUCUAACCAUAAACGAUGCCAGCCAGUGAUCCGCCGGCGUUCCUCCGAU